rnacentral:rRNA from 1 species
GACGAACGCUGGCGGCGUGCUUAACACAUGCAAGUCGAACGGAAAGGCCCUGCUUUUGUGGGGUGCUCGAGUGGCGAACGGGUGAGUAACACGUGAGUAACCUGCCCUUGACUUUGGGAUAACUUCAGGAAACUGGGGCUAAUACCGGAUAGGAGCUCCUGCUGCAUGGUGGGGGUUGGAAAGUUUCGGCGGUUGGGGAUGGACUCGCGGCUUAUCAGCUUGUUGGUGGGGUAGUGGCUUACCAAGGCUUUGACGGGUAGCCGGCCUGAGAGGGUGACCGGCCACAUUGGGACUGAGAUACGGCCCAGACUCCUACGGGAGGCAGCAGUGGGGAAUAUUGCACAAUGGGCGGAAGCCUGAUGCAGCAACGCCGCGUGCGGGAUGACGGCCUUCGGGUUGUAAACCGCUUUCGCCUGUGACGAAGCGUGAGUGACGGUAAUGGGUAAAGAAGCACCGGCUAACUACGUGCCAGCAGCCGCGGUGAUACGUAGGGUGCGAGCGUUGUCCGGAUUUAUUGGGCGUAAAGGGCUCGUAGGUGGUUGAUCGCGUCGGAAGUGUAAUCUUGGGGCUUAACCCUGAGCGUGCUUUCGAUACGGGUUGACUUGAGGAAGGUAGGGGAGAAUGGAAUUCCUGGUGGAGCGGUGGAAUGCGCAGAUAUCAGGAGGAACACCAGUGGCGAAGGCGGUUCUCUGGGCCUUUCCUGACGCUGAGGAGCGAAAGCGUGGGGAGCGAACAGGCUUAGAUACCCUGGUAGUCCACGCUGUAAACGGUGGGUACUAGGUGUGGGGUCCAUUCCACGGGUUCCGUGCCGUAGCUAACGCUUUAAGUACCCCGCCUGGGGAGUACGGCCGCAAGGCUAAAACUCAAAGGAAUUGACGGGGCCCCGCACAAGCGGCGGAGCAUGCGGAUUAAUUCGAUGCAACGCGUAGAACCUUACCUGGGUUUGACAUGGAUCGGGAGCGCUCAGAGAUGGGUGUGCCUCUUUUGGGGUCGGUCCACAGGUGGUGCAUGGCUGCCGUCAGCUCGUGUCGUGAGAUGUUGGGUUAAGUCCCGCAACGAGCGCAACCCUUGUUCACUGUUGCCAGCACGUUAUGGUGGGGACUCAGUGGAGACCGCCGGGGUCAACUCGGAGGAAGGUGGGGAUGACGUCAAGUCAUCAUGCCCCUUAUGUCCAGGGCUUCACGCAUGCUACAAUGGCUGGUACAGAGAGUGGCGAGCCUGUGAGGGUGAGCGAAUCUCGGAAAGCCGGUCUCAGUUCGGAUUGGGGUCUGCAACUCGACCUCACGAAGUCGGAGUCGCUAGUAAUCGCAGAUCAGCAACGCUGCGGUGAAUACGUUCCCGGGGCU